rnacentral:rRNA from 1 species
UACCAGCACCCCGAGUGGUCGGGACGAUUAUUGGGCCUAAAGCAUCCGUAGCCGGUUCUACAAGUCUUCCGUUAAAUCCCCCUGCUUAACAGAUGGGCUGCGGAGGAUACUAUGGAGCUAGGAGGCGGGAGAGGCAAGCGGUACUUAGUGGGUAGGGGUAAAAUCCGUUGAUCCAUUGAAGACCACCAGUGGCGAAGGCGGCUUGCCAGAACGCACUCGACGGUGAGGGAUGAAAGCUGGGGGAGCAAACAGG